GAUGAACGCUGGCGGCGUGCCUAAUACAUGCAAGUCGAGCGAACGGACGAGAAGCUUGCUUCUCUGAUGUUAGCGGCGGACGGGUGAGUAACACGUGGAUAACCUACCUAUAAGACUGGGAUAACUUCGGGAAACCGGAGCUAAUACCGGAUAAUAUUUUGAACCGCAUGGUUCAAAAGUGAAAGACGGUCUUGCUGUCACUUAUAGAUGGAUCCGCGCUGCAUUAGCUAGUUGGUAAGGUAACGGCUUACCAAGGCAACGAUGCAUAGCCGACCUGAGAGGGUGGCCGGCGACGUGGGGACUGAGGUACGGACAAGACGGAUACGGGAGGCAACAGUGGGGAAUAUUACACAAUGGUGGGAAGCGAGAUACAGAAACGUCGCGUGCGGGAAAACGGCUUACGGGGUGUAAACAGCUGUCGCCUGAGACGAAGAGUGAGUGACGGUAAUGGGUAAAGAAGCAACGGCUAACUACGUG
rnacentral:rRNA from 1 species